GACGAACGCUGGCGGCGUGCCUAAUACAUGCAAGUCGAGCGGACGAAUCGAAAGCUUGCUUUUGAUUCGUUAGCGGCGGACGGGUGAGUAACACGUGGGCAACCUGCCCUGUAGACGGGGAUAACACCGAGAAAUCGGUGCUAAUACCGGAUAACACGAAAUGUCGCAUGACGUUUCGUUGAGAGACGGCGCAAGCUGUCGCUACAGGAUGGGCCCGCGGCGCAUUAGCUAGUUGGUGAGGUAACGGCUCACCAAGGCGACGAUGCGUAGCCGACCUGAGAGGGUGAUCGGCCACACUGGGACUGAGACACGGCCCAGACUCCUACGGGAGGCAGCAGUAGGGAAUCUUCCGCAAUGGACGAAAGUCUGACGGAGCAACGCCGCGUGAGCGAAGAAGGCCUUCGGGUCGUAAAGCUCUGUUGUUAGGGAAGAACAAGUAACGCAGUAACUGGCGUUACCGUGACGGUACCUAACGAGAAAGCCACGGCUAACUACGUG
rnacentral:rRNA from 1 species